AAAGAAAUGACAUAAAUGAAACGGUUCAGUCUUCAUGCUUUCAAUAAGCAAUCCUACUUGCAAAUAAGAUGAUGCAGUCUAACAGACGAAUUUUUAAACAAAUCUAAUACGAGAUUUAAUAAAAUAUUGAAUCUGAAUCUACAAGCAAUGGGGAAUGGUGGGAAUUUAAAAUAUUUUUGUGGAGGAUUUUUAGUCCUGUUUAUUUGUUGUACACUACUUUUAUCUGCUCGGUUCAUUCUUCAGUUGAUAAUUGACAAUUCAUGCAACAACACAAUUUAUACCGCAGAGUUUACAAUGAACAGUAACACUUCAAAUUUGAAUAAAUUGUCAUGGAAACCUUCCAUGUCCUAUAAUUUUGUUAUGUAUGAUACACAGAACAAUUCGUUUACACUGACACAGUCAUGUGACAAAAAAAUCAAACUUUCAUAGGUUGUAGAAACAGAAAUUAAAAAUGGAACAACACAAUCAUGUUCAUUAUGUUUCAAAUACACUUCCGGUAUACAAAGGUGUAAAACAAUGCUGUUUAAAACGGGAGCAGAAAGUUUUCGCUUGGAAGACCAAUUGAGGAGUUUUAAAGAUUUUUCAUUCAUGAUACAAAGGCAAGAGACAUCACACGAUUAUCUGAAAAUCAAAUCCUGCAGAUUGAAAAUCAGUUGUUUCUAGAAAAAACAAUAAAACAGUACAUUUCUGGAAGGCAGCUAUUUAAUGCUAUAAUGGAUGAACAAUUUCAUCAGCAAUAGGCCUUGUCCUACAUUAGCAUAGUGUUGUCUGGUGUAAGAAUAGCGACGCAUUUACAAUUGUAUUAAUUCGAUAAAAAAUUCUUGUUCAAAGCACAUAAACUUAUCUCAUGUACAGUUCACUUAUUUGAAUUAUUUGAAUCAACGUAAACAAAUAAAAGUGGUUAGAUUUGUUCCACUGUAAAAACUUUAUAACUUUAUUGAAAUUGGUAAUGUCUAAAUGUUUUUUUAGCUUUCAAAAAGUUCAUAUACAAAAUUUGACUGCAUUUCUAUAAAUUAUUCUUAGUUUUUUUUUAGAGCUGACAUCUCGCAGUUAGUGAUGAAAAAUUACAUCGCAUAGACAUUAAUGCAGGAUUCUUUCAGACAUAAACAAUGACAUAUAUCAAAGUAAUGUUUUCUGUACUAAUAAAACCUAACCAUGACAACAUUCUAAAAAUGUGUAGUGUAUUUUAAAUAAAACAAUCAAAAGUUU